rnacentral:rRNA from 1 species
GAACGGGGAUAAGACAUCGGAAGAGCUGCUUGCAGAAUGGAAGAAGUCAUAUUCUAGUGGCGGACGGGUGAGUAACGCGUGGGCAACCUGCCUUAUACAGGGGGAUAACAGCUGGAAACAGCUGCUAAUACCGCAUAAGCGCACAGCGGCGCAUGACGCAGUGUGAAAAACUGAGGUGGUAUAAGAUGGGCCCGCGUCUGAUUAGCUGGUUGGGAGGGUAACGGCCUACCAAGGCGACGAUCAGUAGCCGGCCUGAGAGGGCGGACGGCCACAUUGGGACUGAAACACGGCCCAAGACUCCUACGGGAGGCAGCACCCCCCCCUCCCCCACAAAAGGGGGAACCCUGAUGCAGGGGGGCGGCAAGAAAAAAGAAAUAUUUCCCUACCCCCAACACAAUCAGCAGGGAAGAAAAAAGGAAAAAAAAAAACUCUUAAGCCCCGGCUAAGGGGGAACAAACAGCCGCGGUAAUACGUAGGGGGCAAGCGUUAUCCGG